rnacentral:rRNA from 1 species
GAUGAACGCUGGCGGCGUGCCUAAUACAUGCAAGUCGAGCGAACAGACGAGGAGCUUGCUCCUCUGACGUUAGGGGCGGACGGGUGAGUCACACGUGGAUAACCUACCUAUAAGACUGGGAUAACUACGGGAACCCGGAUCCCACAUCGGAUAAUAUAGUGAACCGCAUGGUUCAAUAGAGAAAGACGGCUCUGAUGUCCCUAAUAGAUGGAUCCGCGCCGCAUUAGCUAGUUGGUAAGGUAACGGCUUACCAAGGCUACGAUGCGUAGCUGACCUGAGAGGGUGAUCGGCCACACUGGAACUGAGACACGGUCCAGACUCCUACGGGAGGCAGCAGUAGGGAAUCUUCGGCAAUGGGCGAAAGCCUGACGGAGCAACGCCGCGUGAGUGAUGAAGGUCUUCGGAUCGUAAAACUCUGUUAUUAGGGAAGAACAAAUGUGUAAUUAACUAUUCACGUCUUGACGGUACCUAAUCAGAAAGCCACGGCUAACUACGUG